UCCUCGGUAGUAUAGUGGUCAGUAUCCCCGCCUGUCACGCGGGAGACCGGGGUUCGAUUCCCCCCCGGGGAG
rnacentral:tRNA from 1 species